rnacentral:tRNA from 1 species
AGCUUUAUAGUUAAUAUUAAUAAUUUUAGACUGCAAUUCUAAAGUAGUAAUGGAUUUACUAAGGCUU